AUUGAACGCUGGCGGCAUGCCUUACACAUGCAAGUCGAACGGUAACAGGUUAAGCUGACGAGUGGCGAACGGGUGAGUAAUGCAUCGGAACGUGCCCGAUCGUGGGGGAUAACGCAGCGAAAGCUGCGCUAAUACCGCAUACGAUCUGAGGAUGAAAGCGGGGGCCCGUAAGGCCUCGCGCGAUCGGAGCGGCCGAUGGCAGAUUAGGUAGUUGGUGGGGUAAAGGCUCACCAAGCCAACGAUCUGUAGCUGGUCUGAGAGGACGACCAGCCACACUGGGACUGAGACACGGCCCAGACUCCUACGGGAGGCAGCAGUGGGGAAUUUUGGACAAUGGGCGAAAGCCUGAUCCAGCAAUGCCGCGUGCAGGAAGAAGGCCUUCGGGUUGUAAACUGCUUUUGUACGGAGCGAAAAGGCUCUCUCUAAUACAGGGGGCUCAUGACGGUACCGUAAGAAUAAGCACCGGCUAACUACGUGCCAGCAGCCGCCGCAG
rnacentral:rRNA from 1 species